rnacentral:tRNA from 1 species
AGGAUAAUAGUUAAAAUAACAUUUAAUUUGCAUUUAAAAAUUAUUGAUUUAUAUCAAUUUAUCUUU